rnacentral:rRNA from 1 species
GAUGAACGCUGGCGGCGUGCCUAAUACAUGCAAGUCGAGCGAACAGACGAGGAGCUUGCUCCUCUGACGUUAGCGGCGGACGGGUGAGUAACACGUGGAUAACCUACCUAUAAGACUGGGAUAACUUCGGGAAACCGGAGCUAAUACCGGAUAAUAUAUUGAACCGCGUGGUUCAAUAGUGAAAGACGGUUUUGCUGUCACUUAUAGAUGGAUCCGCGCCGCAUUAGCUAGUUGGUACGGUAACGGCUUACCAAGGCAACGAUGCGUAGCCGACCUGAGAGGGUGAUCGGCCACAUGGGAACGGAGACACGGACCAGACUCCUAAGGGAGGCAGCAGUAGGGAACGUUCGGCAAUGGGCGAAAGUUUGACGGAGCAACGCCGCGCGAGUGAUGAAGGUCUUCGGAGCGGAAAACUCGGUUAUUAGGGAAGAACAAAUGUGGAAGUAACUAUGCACGUAUUGACGGUACUUAAUCAGAAAGCCACGGCUAACUACGUG